rnacentral:tRNA from 1 species
GCCCCCGUAGCUCAGGCGGAUAGAGCACGGGAUUCCUAAUCCCGGUGUCGGAGGUUCGAGUCCUCCCGGGGGCG